rnacentral:rRNA from 1 species
CCUACGGAGUGCUGCAGUGGGGAAUAUUGCACAAUGGGGGAAACCCUGAUGCAGCGACGCCGCGUGAGUGAAGAAGUAUUUCGGUCUGUAAAGCUCUAUCAGCAGGGACGAAACCCACCCUCCGGGGUGGCUGACGGUACCUGACUAAGAAGCCCCGGCUAACUACGUGCCAGCAGCCGCGGUAAUACGUAGGGGGCAAGCGUUAUCCGGAUUUACUGGGUGUAAAGGGAGCGUAGGUGGCAAGGCAAGUCAGAUGUGAAAACCCGGGGCCCAACCCCGGGAGGGCAUUUGAAACUGUCUGGCUAGAGUGCAGGAGAGGGAAGUGGAAUUCCUAGUGUAGCGGUGAAAUGCAUAGAUAUUAGGAGGAACACCAGUGGCGAAGGCGGCUUACUGGACUGUAACUGACACUGAGGCUCGAAAGCGUGGGGAGCAAACAGGAUUAGAUACCCUUGUAGUC